AGCUCCAAUAGCGUAUAUUAAAGUUGUUGCAGUUAAAAAGCUCGUAGUUGGAUUUCUUGUGCAUGAAGCGGGUCGGCUCAAAGAGUCUGUACUAGCUUUCAUGCACAAUCCUCGUAACAAGCUGUCGGUGAGUUAACUCCAUUCGGCAGUGAGUUGCGUCAUUUACUGUGAACAAAUUAGAGUGUUUAAAGCAGGCAAAUGCUGUGAAUACAUUAGCAUGGAAUAAUAAGAUAGGACCUAGAGUCUAUUUUGUUGGUUGCGAUUUUAGGUAAUGAUUAAUAGGGAUAGUUGGGGGUAUUCAUAUUCAAUUGUCAGAGGUGAAAUUCUUGGAUUUAUGGAAGAUGAACAACUGCGAAAGCAUUUACCAAGGAUGUUUUCAUUAAUCAAGAACGAAAGUAGG
rnacentral:rRNA from 1 species